rnacentral:rRNA from 1 species
AGUGAACGCUGGCGGUAGGCCUAACACAUGCAAGUCGAACGGCAGCACAGUAAGAGCUUGCUCUUACGGGUGGCGAGUGGCGGACGGGUGAGGAAUACAUCGGAAUCUACUUUUUCGCGGGGGAUAACGUAGGGAAACUUACGCUAAUACCGCAUACGACCUACGGGUGAAAGCAGGGGAUCUUCGGACCUUGCGCGAUUGAAUGAGCCGAUGCCGGAUUAGCUAGUUGGCGGGGUAAAGGCCAACCAAGGCGACGAUCCGUAGCUGGUCUGAGAGGAUGAUCACCCACACUGGAGCUGAGACACGGUCCAGACUCCUACGGGAGGCAGCAGUGGGGAAUAUUGGGCAAUGGGCGCAAGCCUGAUCCAGCCAUACCGCGUGGGUGAAGAAGGCCUUCGGGUUGUAAAGCCCUUUUGUUGGGAAAGAAAAGCAGCAGGUUAAUACCCCGCUGUUCUGACGGUACCCAAAGAAUAAGCACCGGCUAACUUCGUG